rnacentral:rRNA from 1 species
CCUACGGGAGGCAGCAGUGGGGAAUUUUGGACAAUGGGCGCAAGCCUGAUCCAGCAAUGCCGCGUGAGUGAAGAAGGCCUUCGGGUUGUAAAGCUCUUUUGUCAGGGAAGAAAAGGGUCUGGCUAAUAUCUAGGCCUCAUGACGGUACCUGAAGAAUAAGCACCGGCUAACUACGUGCCAGCAGCCGCGGUAAUACGUAGGGUGCAAGCGUUAAUCGGAAUUACUGGGCGUAAAGCGUGCGCAGGCGGUUUUGUAAGACUGUCGUGAAAUCCCCGGGCUCAACCUGGGAAUGGCGAUGGUGACUGCAAGGCUAGAGUUUGGCAGAGGGGGGUAGAAUUCCACGUGUAGCAGUGAAAUGCGUAGAUAUGUGGAGGAACACCGAUGGCGAAGGCAGCCCCCUGGGUCAAACUGACGCUCAUGCACGAAAGCGUGGGGAGCAAACAGGAUUAGAUACCCUGGUAGUCCACGCCCUAAACGAUGUCUACUAGUUGUCGGGUCUUAAUUGACUUGGUAACGCAGCUAACGCAUGAAGUAGACCGCCUGGGGAGUACGGUCGCAAGNUUAAAACNCAAAGGAAUUGACGG